AAUUAUUAUUAUUAUUAUUAUUAUUAUUAUUAUUAUUAUUAUUAUUAUUAUUAUUAUUAUUGUUAUUGAUGGCAAUGACAAGUUCAUUAAAGACUACAGCAACAAUAUGCCUCCUGUUUGCGCUCUUUUUUUCUACUGAGAUGGGUCCAAUGAUGCUUGGAGUGGUUGGAGAACCAAAAUCUCAUCCUACUGACCAGGUUUGCGUUAAAAAGAGUAAUUGCAACAAAGUGUGCCGUCCACAUGCUGGUGGUGGUAAAUGCAUUUUAUUAUAUUGCGUCUGCUUUGAUGCAAAGCCGUAAUACAAUGGUGGUGGUGAUUGUGGCAAGUUUGGGGUUUUACAAUCAUGCUUCAAAUGGCUCCUCUAAAGUGAUUGAAAAUAAAACUCAGGAGAUUAGUAUUUGUUGUUCUAUUACAAUUUUUUUUUUUCACUUUUUAACAUUAUAUUAUAGCCGGCCUUAUGAAUUUUAAGUAAAAGUAUCGUGAUUGAGUACAACAUAUAUGUGAAGUGCAUUCAGUUGGUUCCUAGUGAUAAAUUGUGGGUAAAGAUACUGAAUUGAAUUUGGAUAGUC